rnacentral:lncRNA from 1 species
UCGGGACAGGCCCCGCCUCAUGAUAAGAUACUAUACAAUGCAAAAAGAUAUGAUAAGACUCAAAGCCCCGAAGCAACCUGGAGCUCAGUGACUGCGGUUGAUAUCCUGUACUCUUACUAGGGAGGUUUAUUAGCUUCUGUACCUGCAGCAUGGAAUGCAGGUCCCCCAAGAGGGACGUCAGUACGAAAUAAUGUACUGAAUAUGUAAGGCAACAUGUACUAUAUAUGAGAUAAAAACUCAAAUGAAACCAUGUACUGUUGUAGGGUAAAAGACCACCUUUAUGAAUAUUGUGGAGUCAUGUAUCUUAUAACAAUUAUGUUACUUUACUCUUAUUACUUGAAUAAUCUGUGCACAGCAUGUAAUACAAAUGACCAGCUGAUCAGUGGUAAUUCUAUAUCAGGAUCGACCCAUGCUAGGCUUUCCUUUCACCCCUGGGAUACCCCCUGUAAUACUGGGAUUGACCCAUGCUAGGUGAUUCUUUCACCCCUGGGAUACCACCCAACAGAAGCAACUGUAUACAUAUAUCUUCUUAUUACUUUUGAGAUGAAUCUUUGGUGGUCGUAACAUUUGAGCUAUAAGACUAUAAGCAUGACAAAUGAC